rnacentral:rRNA from 1 species
GACGAACGCUGGCGGCGUGCUUAACACAUGCAAGUCGAACGGAAAGGCCCUGCUUGUUGGGUGUUCGCGUGGCGCACGCGUGUGUAUAACGCGGGAGUUCCCUGCCUAACAUUGGGAUAUACCUGGGAGACACGGUGUCUAAUAGCGUAGGGGAGCUCCUUCGUCAUGGUGGUGGUUAGAAAGUUUCGGCGGUUGGGGAUGGACUCGCGGCUUAUCAGCUUGUUGGUGGGGUAGUGGCUUACCAAGGCUUUGACGGGUAGCCGGCCUGAGAGGGUGACCGGCCACAUUGGGACUGAGAUACGGCCCAGACUCCUACGGGAGGCAGCAGUGGGGAAUAUUGCACAAUGGGCGGAAGCCUGAUGCAGCAACGCCGCGUGCGGGAUGACGGCCUUCGGGUUGUAAACCGCUUUCGCCUGUGACGAAGCGUGAGUGACGGUAAUGGGUAAAGAAGCACCGGCUAACUACGUG